CCAGCAGCCAAUCAGAAUGCAGGAUUCACACAGACCAUGGUAUAAGGAUGAACAUCAAUUACGUUGAGUUGUUAAUGAAAGAUAUCAGAUCUACAACAGUAACAGAGAGUCAGUGAACUGACCUCAGAGUCUCCAGUCUACAGUGUGGACUCUCCAGAAAACCACACAGCAGCUUCACUCCUGAAUCAUACAGGUUGUUGUUGUCACUCAGGUCCAGCUCUCUCAGAUGGGAGGGGUUGGACUUCA